UCAUUGGGGAGUAGCCUCUUUCCGCAAGGAAAGGCUUACGUCAACACACUUGGCCUAUCAUCAUUUACAGGCUAUGGCGUAAGCGGUUCUAGAACUUGGCAAGACCUUUGACUACUCAGCUUCCAGAUCGGCCUGGAGAAGCUGCGUGGUCAUUUGGUUUUUCCAGGCC
rnacentral:sRNA from 1 species